UACAGAGGUCUCAAGCGUUGUUCGGAUUCAUUGGGCGUAAAGGGUGCGUAGGCGGCAGUGCAAGUCAGGUGUGAAAUCCCGGGGCUCAACCCCGGAACUGCACUUGAUACUGCUCUGCUAGAGUACUGGAGAGGAGACUGGAAUUUACGGUGUAGCAGUGAAAUGCGUAGAUAUCGUAAGGAAGACCAGUGGCGAAGGCGAGUCUCUGGACAGUUACUGACGCUGAGGCACGAAGGCCAGGGGAGCAAACGGG
rnacentral:rRNA from 1 species